UACGAAGGGGGCUAGCGUUGCUCGGAAUUACUGGGCGUAAAGCGCACGUAGGCGGAUCUUUAAGUCAGGGGUGAAAUCCUGGAGCUCAACUCCAGAACUGCCUUUGAUACUGAGGACCUUGAGUUCGGGAGAGGUGAGUGGAACUGGCGAGUGUAGAGGUGAAAUUCGUAGAUAUUCGCAAGAACACCAGUGGCGAAGGCGGCUCACUGGCCCGAUACUGACGCUGAGGUGCGAAAGCGUGGGGAGCAAACAGG
rnacentral:rRNA from 1 species